UCUUCAAGUCGCCAAGGUUGAGAAACACUGAUCUAAAGGAACUCAUAUCAUUCAAUUAGGUCCUCCAGAAUCUCACCUUCUCAAUGGAAAAAUAUUGAAUCCCUAACAAGUUAUUUAACUGAUAAACAAGAAGCAGAAAAUAAAAGCUAAAAAAAAACCUUGAAGAAUAAAUGUAGAUAAUGCAGAACUUAUUACAUAAACUAGAGAGAAGGUGAUCGAGGGAACCCUUCCAUUCUCUUUCAUUUUUAAAAUCACGCUGAGGUAUUUGUGGUAUAAUAGAGUCAUGAUUAAGGGUCUUGUGAAGAUGACAGAUCAAAUUUGUUUUCUGCUUCGGAGGCUAUGAUCCAAGCCAAAGGUUCAGAUUACAAGAUAAUUUUUAUAAAAAGAGGAACAUUCCCGAGAGUUCUGAGAGUGGAGCAAGCUCCCUUAGAUCUAACAGGCUUUCUUUCAUUAGAUUAGUUUUUAUCAGAGAUGUCAUAUAAGUGCAUUUAAAAAGAUAACCUUUAAGUGUGAGCAAGCAAUUAGCAAUCAGGCAUUGCUACAAGAAGUAUUAACACUUGAUGAAAUGUAUACCUAAAAUUUCUGUAUAAGAAAAAGAUAAAUAAAAAGGGAACAAAAGGCAGAAAGAUACCAAAUAACUAGAGAUUAUUUUUAAAAAAGAUGAAUAAUGGAACAGAGAUUGUGUUUGUCAGGCUGGGCUAACUACCUUCCUACCAAAAGAUUUAGUUUCCACCCAUUCACUGUCAAGGGACAUUGCAAUGAAAGAUCCAUAAUUCAGGGGGUGUUUAAUCUUCAGAAUUAUAGGACUAACGAUUCACAGGAAAGUAUCAACUUUCAACUUAAAAGCUUCUUUAACACUUCCCCAAGUUUUUACUAUGACCCCUUUUAACGUGACUAAUUCAAUGACUCAAAAAGGUGAAUUACACAUAAGCGUCUCAAAAUACAAAAAUAAAGAGGCAUAUUCUGCUGGAAUAGCAGUAUUUAGUUUUGUUAAACUAUCUUUAAAUAUAAGUGCUAUUGUGGUGGGAAGGAGGGGGAGGGAGAAUAUUUUUAAGAAUUCUGAAAAGUGCAAUUUAAAUGAUUCAUGUCAGUGACCAUGAAGAUGACAGGGGAGAUAUGUGUGGAAAUACAUAUGCAUUCUUAUUUAUUAAAUUCCUUAAUAAUUUCAUUGCACAUAACAAAACUACACUUGUUCAGGCAGACGAAAGGUGAUUCAUGAUUAGCAAAACUAACCUACCAUUGUUCUUUCACUUCCACUUCAGUAUCUCUGAAGUGAAAAAAGCAGUAAGUACAUAGGGAAUAUAUUGGAGGACAAAGAUUUAAGACAUCAUUGUACAGAUGUUGAGGAAAAACAAAUCUGGUGUGUCAGUUCCAAAGGGAAAAAUAUCUAGGAAUGCCUUGCUGGCUUGUAUCACACUUAAACUGGUCACUUAAUUAAUUUAUUUUCUCAAUUAACUCUUUUUCACAUACACACUGAGCCCUGAACUAACUAGGUGGGUUCACGCAACAUAGUAAAACCACAAAAAA